AUUGAACGCUGGCGGCGUGCCUAACACAUGCAAGUCGAGCGGUAACAGGUGUAGCAAUACAUGCUGACGAGCGGCGGACGGGUGAGUAACGCUUGGGAUCUGCCUAUUAGUGGGGGACAACCCGGGGAAACUCGGGCUAAUACCGCAUACGCUCUACGGAGGAAAGCCGGGGACCGCAAGGCCUGGCGCUAAUAGAUGAGCCCAAGUCGGAUUAGCUAGUUGGUAGGGUGAUGGCCUACCAAGGCGACGAUCCGUAACUGGUCUGAGAGGACGACCAGUCACACCGGAACUGAGACACGGUCCGGACUCCUACGGGAGGCAGCAGUGGGGAAUAUUGGACAAUGGGCGAAAGCCUGAUCCAGCGACGCCGCGUGGGUGAAGAAGGCCUGCGGGUUGUAAGCCCUUUCAGUGGGGAAGAAAGCCUCGACCUACACGUCGGGUCUUGACGUACCCAUAG
rnacentral:rRNA from 1 species